rnacentral:rRNA from 1 species
GACGAACGCUGGCGGCGUGCCUAAUACAUGCAAGUCGAGCGAAGUUUUUCUGGUGCUUGCCCUAGAAAAACUUAGCGGCGAACGGGUGAGUAACACGUAAAGAACCUGCCUCAUAGACUGGGACAACUAUUGGAAACGAUAGCUAAUACCGGAUAACAGUAUUUCUCGCAUGAGAGAUAUUUAAAAGUUGGUUAUGCUGACACUAUGAGAUGGCUUUGCGGUGCAUUAGCUAGUUGGCGGGGUAAAGGCCCACCAAGGCGACGAUGCAUAGCCGACCUGAGAGGGUGAUCGGCCACACUGGGACUGAGACACGGCCCAGACUCCUACGGGAGGCAGCAGUAGGGAAUCUUCCGCAAUGGGCGAAAGCCUGACGGAGCAACGCCGCGUGAGUGAAGAAGGAUUUCGGUUCGUAAAGCUCUGUUGUUAGGGAAGAAUGGAUAUGUAGUAACUAUACAUGUAAGAGACGGUACCUAACCAGAAAGCCACGGCUAACUACGUG